AUGAUCGAUCAGCAACCAAAAGAGGAAGAUAGACUCAGCAUGCUGACAGAUGAUAUUUUACUGUCCAUCUUGGCGAGAGUCGAUGUACGCACUGCUGCGCGGACAAGUGCGCUAUCAACACAGUGGAGGCGCCUUCCUUGGUUGCUGCCCGAGAUCAGCAUUAAUGCCAAAAAAUUCCUACCAAUUCCUGGCCUCAACCCUAUAGAGGUGAAGGACACGGAGGAAGCAAUGGCCUCUCUAACCAAAGCAACGCGGAGCUUCUUGGGUAACCGGCAUAAAGAAUCCAGCAUCUCUACUCUGCAUCUUAAGAUCUACCUGAUCAACACUUUCUUGCGCGAAGUUGGCCCACUCAUAGGUGCUGCAACUGACAGUGGUUUGUUGAAAGAUUUGGAUCUCACCAUUCUUGAUGAGGUAGAUGCUUUGGACCGUAGUGAGGAGGAUAUGCUGCAGCGAGCUCAAGAAAUAGAUGCUUUUUUCAUUGCCUACCCUAGUGUGCUCCACUGCCUCACAAAGCUCUCCCUAUACAAUGUACGCAUUGACAAAUUGGAUACACACCAUCUGUUGUUUGAGUGCUGCAAGCAACUUAAGCAUCUACGCCUCUCUCGGUGUGAUACUGGUGCUCACUCUCCGUUUAAGAUUGAUGCACCAAACUCAGAACUCCGUGUUCUAGAACUCGCCAAGAGUCGUUUUGAGAGACUUGAGUUGGUCUGCCUUCCGAAACUGGAGAAGCUCGGAUGGAAUAUUUGGGAAUCUCACGAAGCUCCUUUGGCCUUUGAAUUUGUCCCGUCUCUUGGGGAACUAGAAUUCAUAUGUGAUGCGAUGUGUGGUCAACCUGAAUUUAAAUUAAGCGAGCUUCUACGUGGGACAACUUGCGUACAUACUCUCACAUUGGAUUUCAAAGGAGAAAAAUCUUUGGAUUCAACCUGA
rnacentral:rRNA from 1 species